CACAUAGGAAUCUGCCUCAACGUGGGGGAUAACGUAGGGAAACUUACGCUAAUACCGCAUACGACCGAGAGGGGAAAGCGGCGGACCGCAAGGCGUCGCGCGGUGAGAUGAGCCUACGUCCGAUUAGCUAGUUGGCGGGGUAAGAGCCCACCAAGGCGACGAUCGGUAGCUGGUCUGAGAGGAUGAUCAGCCACACUGGAACUGAGACACGGUCCAGACUCCUACGGGAGGCAGCAGUGGGGAAUAUUGGACAAUGGGCGCAAGCCUGAUCCAGCAAUGCCGCGUGGGUGAAGAAGGCCUUCGGGUUGUAAAGCCCUUUUGUACGGGAAGAAAUCCUGUCGGUUAAUACCCGGCGGGGAUGACGGUACCGUAAGAAUAAGCACCGGCUAACUUCGUGCCAGCAGCCGCGGUAAUACAGCAAGCAGGAGUACGAUGAG
rnacentral:rRNA from 1 species